GAACGCUGGCGGCGCGUCUUAAGCAUGCAAGUCGAACGGCAAGAUUGGUGCUUGCACCGAUCCUAGAGUGGCGGACUGGUGAGUAACGCGUGGGUGACGUACCCUAAGGAUGGGGAUAGCUGGUAGAAAUAUCAGAUAAUACCGAAUAUCCUUAUUGUUGUUAGAGGACAGUAAGGAAAGGAGCUUUGGCUUCGCCUAAGGAUGGGCCUGCGUCUGAUUAGCUAGUUGGUGGGGUAACGGCCCACCAAGGCGACGAUCAGUAGCCGGUCUGAGAGGAUGAACGGCCACAUUGGGACUGAGACACGGCCCAAACUCCUACGGGAGGCAGCAGUGGGGAAUCUUCCGCAAUGGGCGCAAGCCUGACGGAGCAACGCCGCGUGAGUGAAGAAGGUUUUCGGAUCGUAAAGCUCUGUUGAGAGGGACGAGAGAUAUAAUCAGGAAAUGGGUUAUAGAGGACGGUACCUUUCGAGGAAGCCACGGCUAACUACGUG
rnacentral:rRNA from 1 species